ACAUAAACAACAGCUUCAGAGACUUACUAGAAACAAUUUUUUUCUAGUUGCCUAGCUAGUAUCAGUGGCCACUGAAUGUACAAAACUUAAUCUAGCGACUAGCAUUAUCCUUGGUGGCAUCUUUCAUAUUCAUGAGCUGAAUAUUCACUUGAGGUUUAACUCUUCUAAAAUCAUUAGAAUCUGUCAAGUCUUUAAUAUAGUAUUAAAUUUAUGUGUCGCAAGUAAUUUUUGCUGGGUUUAUGAGCUGAGUAUUGUGAUUACACUGUGGUUUGCUGUAGUAUAGUUAUAACAUUUUCCCAUUAUAAAUGGGAGCAAGUAUGUCAAAUAAACAUUGCACAAUUUCAAAUCAGUCGAUUAAAGUUACUGUCUGUUUAGAGGACUUCUGAGUUGAUCUCAGCUUUUAAGUUCUAAAACUUGGCUUGAGCCUUUUAUCUUUAUGAACUUCUUGUACUUACUUUAGGAUCCUUCUGGUUUGCAGCACAAAGAUGUUACA
rnacentral:misc_RNA from 1 species